UAUGAAUUUUAACUCAAUUGUUUGGUUUUGUGAUUUUGACUCAAAUUGCCUUGCAUGAGCCCCAUGUCCACCACCAUCUCAUUAGGGACGACACUUGUUCCACCCUUUUUCAUUUCCAGAUUAAAAAAAAAUAAAAUUGUGUGGCCCCAGACCCCCCAGCCAUAAGUGAACCAAAGGCAUCAAAGCCUUGAAGCAAUCGAAGCCUUCAUUGUUUCUUAACAGAAGUUUAUUGUUGUCUACCUCCAUUGUGGACCUUGCCGUUUCUUGUAAAGUCUCUGCAGGUCGAAGACCGUCUUAGCCAGCAAAUUGCAACAGCUUGUCAUUGUCAACUCACAGCAGUUUGUAACCAUCAACCUUACUUCAUGGGCUUUUUGGAGCCAGCUUAAUUCACACAGGCGCCUGCGACUUGGUUAUAUGGCUGGUCUUGUGGUUGCUAGUAGAGGUGCAAACCUCAUAGUCAGUUACUCUUUGGAAGGCAGGUUUGAGGUGGCAAAUCUGGUUUUUUUGGCAGCAAAAACACAUAGGUUGUAGAUCCAUAAAUUUGUCUACUAACCAAGAGGUUUGAUGCAGUUGGAAACAUGGGUAGCAUGCUAAACUCUGCUGUCAGCUCUGCAUUGAAGCUUAUCAGGAAUUCAGGAUCUCAAAAACACAAUAAUAUGGAAAAUCUCUAUGCCAUUAGAACAGCAUAAUGACUAUUUAUUUGUUAAAUUGGAGCAUAUGCAUUGGACUUGUCCCCAUUCAACUCAAUGAGGGUUGAAUCUAACUCUGUCCACUAAUUCAAUUGCAGAAAACACGAU